AACCAACAGAUGAAAAGCUACACUAUGAAACAUUUGGAAUGUUUGCAUUAACUUUGGAAAUUAUUUCUAUUAUCGCUAUUCUAAUAGGGAUUAUCGUUAACGGCUAUAUACUACUCAUAGUUACCUUAACCAAACAAGUGUUGAUUGGCCUAGGAUGUGGUUGGAUCUUAUCAAUUCUGUUUAGCAUGCCACAGUUGCUGCUAGUUUCUCCAUAUCAUUAUGAUGCGUACUACGAAGUUUGUCUACCAAACUUCGUAACCAGUGGGUCCCUUAUUUACAACACCAGUUUAACGGCCUUCACCAUAUUUCUUCCAAUCGUUCUAAUUUUGGGAUGUAACAUGAAAGUAUUGAUGAUUGCUCGAUACCAACGACACCGAAUAGCAUCGGCCAUACUCGAAGUAACGCUAUCAGCCCAACUGACAAUCACACAUCAACGAAACCCGUUUUUCAUCCCAAGCUUCUCCAGCCAAGUGGUUCAAAAUUCAGCCAGCCUAAAAAAUCAUACUCACAGCCCAAUGUCAAGCAUAUUCCAGUUAGUUGGUUCAAUCUUUAUUAUCUAUUGUCCAUACUACAUCUGCAAUCUGUGGAACAAUACCAUCGCAGUACUUCGUGAAGAACAUGAAUGGAGCGCCGGGAUUAAGCAAAGUAUAGAGACUGAUUUAAUGAUACCAAAAGUUGCAUUACAAAUCUCAUUGACUUUCCUGCUUUCUUCUCCGUUUGUCAAUGCUUUAUUAUACGGAAUUAAAAAUAAGGUUAUAAGAAAAUCAUUCCACAACUUUUGGCGGAAGCAAAAGUCGAAAAUUGAGAUCCAUUACGAGAUUCAAGCGCGAACACCAUCAACGUGUGGUUCUAGAAGGCCGUCGAUUAAUGAAACAAACGCAGCACAACCUCUGUUAACUAAACAAUUAUCGGAAACAUUUAUGAACACCAGCAAGGCUGAUAUCAAUCACCAACAAUCAGAUAUAAAGCUAAGAUCGGAAUCGCUGUGGUCCUCUAAUUCUAAACUUUCUAGUUACUCAGUUUUAAAUAGUCCAACAGGAAAUUUAACGGUAUCAAAUCUUACACCGAUAAGCUCGAAUGAAUCAAAAUUCGUAUACUUGAAUCCAAUUUCAACAUCAUCAAUACCAUCAACAAUUUCUUCUACGCACAUGCUUGACCCGCCAAUAUCAAUCACUAGUAGCAGUACCUCAAAGAUUACAUGUAAUAUCAUGAGCACCGUCAAGCAUUACUCAUCCCAUAGUACAAAACCAAAGAUCAAAAUUACCAAAACAUUCUCCGAGGAAAAACAACCCUCCCCGAAGCAAGGAAUCAACCAUCCAUUGGACGAUACCACGAUUAAGGGUAUUUCAAAUAAUACCAAAUCCCUAUUUAAUUUAGAACACGCUGAUGACAAUCUAGUUAUGGUAACAACUAAAAGAAUGUAUUCACCCAAAGAAGUUAAAAAGGCAAGUACCGCAGGAACAAUCAACUCAUUUACAUUCAAGAAAUACGCAUCAUUGCAAGAAAUAUCAAUUACUAGCGCUACAGUAACUAUUUGUGAUAUACUGAAAUAAGAGUCACGAGAAAAUUGAUUUUGAAAGCUGACAAAAUGUGCUAAAUCGUGCAUACAAUACAAUACAUUUGUUAUUAGUUGAAGGACAUGAUAUGUCACUAAUAUGUUUAGGUAUCAAAUCUUUAGAGAAGUAAACAUAACAAUCAGUGUCAAGAGACAAAAUCAUUUGCUAGAUAUUACCGAGGGUAUUUAGAUAUGUGAAAGUUGCAAAAACAUUUUCAAAAUUCACUAGAAACCAGCAUGUUACAGAAAACACUAAAUCUAGAAAAACUAGUAACUAGCAAAAGCAAAGCAAAUUGUAAUGAUUCAGAUAUU